rnacentral:rRNA from 1 species
GAUGAACGCUGGCGGCGUGCCUAAUACAUGCAAGUCGAGCGAACGGACGAGAAGCUUGCUUUUCUGAUGUUAGCGGCGGACGGGUGAGUAACACGUGGAUAACCUACCUAUAAGACUGGGAUAACUUCGGGAAACCGGAGCUAAUACCGGAUAAUAUUUUGAACCGCAUGGUUCAAAAGUGAAAGACGGUCUUGCUGUCACUUAUAGAUGGAUCCGCGCUGCAUUAGCUAGUUGGUAAGGUAACGGCUUACCAAGGCAACGAUGCAUAGCCGACCUGAGAGGGUGAUCGGCCACACUGGAACUGAGACACGGUCCAGACUCCUACGGGAGGCAGCAGUAGGGAAUCUUCCGCAAUGGGCGAAAGCCUGACGGAGCAACGCCGCGUGAGUGAUGAAGGUCUUCGGAUCGUAAAACUCUGUUAUUAGGGAAGAACAUAUGUGUAAGUAACUGUGCACAUCUUGACGGUACCUAAUCAGAAAGCCACGGCUAACUACGUGCCAGCAGCCGCGGUAAUACGUAGGUGGCAAGCGUUAUCCGGAAUUAUUGGGCGUAAAGCGCGCGUAGGCGGUUUUUUAAGUCUGAUGUGAAAGCCCACGGCUCAACCGUGGAGGGUCAUUGGAAACUGGAAAACUUGAGUGCAGAAGAGGAAAGUGGAAUUCCAUGUGUAGCGGUGAAAUGCGCAGAGAUAUGGAGGAACACCAGUGGCGAAGGCGACUUUCUGGUCUGUAACUGACGCUGAUGUGCGAAAGCGUGGGGAUCAAACAGGAUUAGAUACCCUGGUAGUCCACGCCGUAAACGAUGAGUGCUAAGUGUUAGGGGGUUUCCGCCCCUUAGUGCUGCAGCUAACGCAUUAAGCACUCCGCCUGGGGAGUACGACCGCAAGGUUGAAACUCAAAGGAAUUGACGGGGACCCGCACAAGCGGUGGAGCAUGUGGUUUAAUUCGAAGCAACGCGAAGAACCUUACCAAAUCUUGACAUCCUUUGACAACUCUAGAGAUAGAGCUUUCCCCUUCGGGGGACAAAGUGACAGGUGGUGCAUGGUUGUCGUCAGCUCGUGUCGUGAGAUGUUGGGUUAAGUCCCGCAACGAGCGCAACCCUUAAGCUUAGUUGCCAUCAUUAAGUUGGGCACUCUAAGUUGACUGCCGGUGACAAACCGGAGGAAGGUGGGGAUGACGUCAAAUCAUCAUGCCCCUUAUGAUUUGGGCUACACACGUGCUACAAUGGACAAUACAAAGGGCAGCGAAACCGCGAGGUCAAGCAAAUCCCAUAAAGUUGUUCUCAGUUCGGAUUGUAGUCUGCAACUCGACUACAUGAAGCUGGAAUCGCUAGUAAUCGUAGAUCAGCAUGCUACGGUGAAUACGUUCCCGGGUCU